rnacentral:rRNA from 1 species
GUGCCAGCCGCCGCGGUAAAACGUAGGUACCGAGCGUUAUCCGGAUUUACUGGGCGUAAAGCGCGUUCAGGCGGCCAGGCAAGUCGGGCAUGAAAUCUCUCGGCUCAACCGGGAGGGGAUGUCCGAUACUGCUUGGCUUGAGGGCAGUAGAGGGUGGUGGAAUUCCGGGUGUAGUGGUGAAAUGCGUAGAGAUCCGGAGGAACACCAGUGGCGAAGGCGGCCACCUGGACUGCACCUGACGCUCAAACGCGAAAGCUAGGGGAGCGAACGGGAUUAGAAACCCUGGUAGUCC